rnacentral:snoRNA from 1 species
AACCCAUGAUAAGGACACCUUCUCAAAAGAUCCUUAAAUCUCCCACAUGUAUCAUAUAAUGUCUCAAAAGUAAUUUGAGCAAAAGAAGAGAUGUCGUUCCUCAACUU